GGGCCGGUGGUGGAAUUGGUAGACACGCUAGAUUUAGGUUCUAGUGCUGAGAAGUGUGAAGGUUCAAGUCCUUUCCGGCCUACCA
rnacentral:tRNA from 1 species